UUAACGAAUAUAAUUCGGAGGGGGCUGUAGCUGGCCUCGGAAACGAGGCAUGUGCACGCUCCUUUCGUCUUUCAUAACUCUCCUGUGCACCUAAUGUAGGAUGCCCCUCCUUCGGGAGGGGGGACCUAUGUCUUCAUACGCCUCUUCGUGUAGAAAGUCUUAGAAUGUUUACUAUCAGAGAGUCGCGACUUCUAGGAGACGCGAAUCUCUGAGACAAAAGUUAAUUACAACUUUCAGCAAUGGAUCUCUUGGCUCUCGCAUCGAUGAAGAACGCAGCGAAAAGCGAUAUGUAAUGUGAAUUGCAGAUCUACAGUGAAUCAUCGAAUCUUUGAACGCACCUUGCGCUCCUCGGUGUUCCGAGGAGCAUGCCUGUUUGAGUGUCAGUGAAUUCUCAACCCCUCUCGAUUUUUUUCGAGGGGGAGCUUGGAUGGUGGGGGCUGCCGGAGACUAGGACCUCGUCCUUGACUCGGGCUCUCCUUAAAUGCAUUGGCUUGCGGUCGACUUUCGACUUUGCGCGACAAGGCUUUCGGCGUGAUAAUGAUCGCCGUUCGCUGAAGCGCAUGAAUGAACGUUCCGUGCCUCUAAUACCGUCGACGGUUACUAUCUCUUCGGAGAGAAAAGCGUCUUCCUUCAAUUGACUUUUGACCUCAAAUCAGGUAGGACUACCCGCUGAACUUUAAGCAUAUCAUA
rnacentral:rRNA from 1 species